rnacentral:rRNA from 1 species
CUAGUACGGCGAGUGAGAGGGAAGAGCCCAAGAUUGAAAGCUGGCGUCUUCGGCGUCCGCAUUGUAAUCUCAAGAAGUGUUUUCCGCUUCGGACCAAGCCUAAGUCCCCUGGAAAGGGGCAUCAUAGAGGGUGAUAAUCCCGUACAUGGCUUGGAGCGCCCGAGGCUUUGUGAUACGCUUUCUAAGAGUCGAGUUGUUUGGGAAUGCAGCUCAAAAUGGGUGGUAAAUGCCAUCUAAGGCUAAAUAUUGGGGAGAGACCGAUAGCGAACAAGUACAGUGAUGGAAAGAUGAAAAGAACUUUGAAAAGAGAGUUAAACAGUACGUGAAAUUGCCAAAAGGGAAGGGUAGGAGGUCAGAGAUGCGGCCUGGGAUUCAGCCUUGCUUUUGCUUGGUGUUUUUCCCAGAUUGCAGGCCAACGUCGGUUUUGGGCACUGGAGAAGGGUAGGAGGAACGUGGCACCUCUCGGGGUGUGUUAUAGCCUCCUACUGGAUACAGCGACCGAGACCGAGGACAGCAGCGUACUCGCAAGAGCGGGCCUUCGGGCACCUUUACGCUUAGGGCGUUGGCAUAAUGGCCCUCUACCACCCGUCU